CAGUCGCCGCGGUAAUACGUAGGGUGCAAGCGUUAAUCGGAAUUACUGGGCGUAAAGCGUGCGCAGGCGGUUUGUUAAGACAGAUGUGAAAUCCCCGGGCUCAACCUGGGAACUGCAUUUGUGACUGGCAAGCUAGAGUGUGGCAGAGGGGGGUGGAAUUCCGUGUGUAGCAGUGAAAUGCGCAGAUAUGCGGAGGAACACCGAUGGCGAAGGCAGCCCCCUGGGCCAACACUGACGCUCAUGCACGAAAGCGUGGGGAGCAAACAGGAUUAGAUACCCCCGUAGUCCCUGUCUCUUAUAC
rnacentral:rRNA from 1 species